rnacentral:lncRNA from 10 species
ACCCUCCCCUAUGGAGCUCCAGAGAAGGGAUUCGCUCACUCCACCGCGGGAGGAGGAAAGGGAGCUACCUAGCAGCAAGGGUUGUGUAGAGGACCUGUGGACUUGACAGCCUCUUAAACAAACUAACACGGAAGGAGUACCAUAGAGACCAUAACAAACAAGGGGGGGGGAAAGCAACCCUCAGAGGAAAAAGAAACCACACGAUUCCAAAAGAUACACGGGGCACUUGAGCUCAGCCUUGAGAGCCUCUGAUGACUGUCCUGGAGAGGUUCUCAACCACAAUCUUGGCAGCCGGUGGAGGCAGGUGGUGGUCCCAAUCUACUACCAACCCCAAGUCUUCAAAGUCCAUCCUAUUCAAAAGUGACCUUACGAGCUCCAGCACCAUGUUGGUUCGAGUCUCCUGCUUGAGGGUCCAACGGCUCACAGUCGUGUUCAUCGAUAUAGGACGCCAUGGCUGCCCAGCCGUCUGACAUGUGAUGUUUUGAUACAGGUAUACAAUGUGUAACUAUCAAAUCCGAGUAACUGGGGUAUUGAUCAUCUUGAGAAUUUAUCAUUUCUUUGUGUUAGGAACAGUCCAAUUCCACUCUUUUAGUUAUUUUAAAAUAUGCAAUAAAUUAUUAACUGUAGUCACUCUGUUUUAUUGUUGUUGUUGUCGUCAUUUGUUUUGGUUUUGGUUUUUUUGUUUGUUUUUUGAGACAAGUUCUCCCUCUGUUGCCCAGGCAGGAGUGCAGUGGUGCAGCCAUAACCCACUGUAACCUCAAACUCCUGGGCUCAAGGGAUCCACCCACCUCAGCCUCCUGAGUAGCUAGGACUAUAGACUGGCACCACCAUUCCUGGCUAACUUUUUUUUGUUGAGACAGUGACUCGCUAUGUUGCCCAGGCUGGGCUCUACUCCUGAGCUCAAGCGAUUCUCCUGUCUUGACCUCCCAAAGUGCUAGGAUUACAGCCAUGAGCCACUGCACCUGGCCCCUAACUGUAUUUUUGGACCCAUUAACCAUCCCCAAUUUAUGCCUUCCUCCCUGCUACCCUUUCAGCCUUUGGUAACAAUCAUUCUACUCUCUAUCUCCUUGAAUUCAAUUUGUUUAAUGUUAAGCUCCCACAUAUGAGAGAAAAGGAUACUAUUUAAAAGGAGCAUUGGCUGGGCACGGUGGCUCCUGCCUGUAAUCUCAGCACUUUGGGAGGCUGAGGCAGAACAAAUUGCCUGAGGUCAGGAGUUCAAGACCAGCCUGGCCAACAUGGUGAAAGCCUGUCUCUACUAAAAGUACAAAAAUUAGCCAGGCCUGGUGGUGGGAGCCUGUAAUCCCAGCUACCCAGGAGGCUGAGGCAGGAGAAUCUCUUGAACCCAGCAGGCAGAGGUUGCAGCGAGCCGAGAUUACACCACUGCACUCCAGCUGGGCAACAAAGCAAAACUCUGUCUCAAACAUAAAUAAUUAAAUAGAUAAAUAAAUGAAUAAUAAAAGGAGCACUCACUUGUAAAUGGGGAGGGUAAAAAUAAAUAAAAUAAGAAAAGCAUUCAGAGAUGAAAAAAUAUGACAGCAGAAAUUAAAAUUUCAAGAGUGGAAAGAUAGGCCAAGUGCAGUGGCUCACGCCUGUAAUCCCAACACUUUGGGAGGCCAAGGCACGUGGAUCGCUUGAGGCCAGGAGUUCGAGACCAGCCUGGCCAACAUGGUGAAACCUGGUCUCUACUAAAAAUACAAAAUAUUAGCUGGCCAUUGUGGCACGUGCACCUAUAGUCCCUGCUGCUUAGUAGGCUGAGGAACAAGAAUUGCUUGAACCCAGGAGGCUUUUAAUUUCUGCUGUCAUAUUUUUUGUUCUCUGAAUGCUCUUUUUAUUUUAUUUAUUUAUUUUUAUCCUCCCCAUUUUCACAAGUGAGUGCCCCUUUUAUUAUUUAUUAUUUGUUUGUUUGUUUCUUUGAGACAGAGUUUCGUUCUGUUGCCCAGGCUGGAGUGCAGUGGCACGAUCUUGGCUCACUGCAACCUCCGCCUCUGGGGUUCAAGUGAUUCUUCUGCCUCAGCCUCCCUAGUAGCCAGGAUUACAGGUGCCCGCCAUCAUGCCCGCCUAAUUUUUGUAUUUUUAGUAGAGAUGGGGUUUCAUCACAUUGGCCAGGCUGGUCUUGAACUCCUGACCUCAGGUGAUCUGCCCACCUCAGCCUCCCAAAGUGCUGGGAUUAUAGGCAUGAGCCACUGUGCCUGGCCUUUUCUUUGUUUUGUUUUGUUUUUUGCUUUUUUUUCCUAGAACAUUUAUCAACAUUUAUCUUCCCACACUUUGUUUGUUUGUUUUUAUUUUGAGACGGGGUCUCACUCUGUCACCCAGGCCGGAGUUUAUUGGCAAGAUCUUAGCUCACUGCAACCUCUGCCUCCCAGGUUCAAGUGAUUCUCCUGUCUCAGCCUCCCAAGUAGCUGGGACUACAGGUGUGCACCACCACACCUGGCUAAUUUUUGUAUUUUUAGUAGAGAUGGGGUUUCACCAUGUUGGCCAGUCUAGUCUCAAACUCCUGACCUCAAGUGAUCUGCCCGCCUCAGCCUCCCAAAUUGCUGGAUUACAGUUGUGAGCCACCACGCCUGGCCAAAAACUGGAAUUCUGUACUUAAUUAGUGAACUAUGAAUCAAAUGUGAGGUUAGAAUAAAAAUGUGGGGUUUUUUUUAACACUCUUGUAGUCAAGAAUAAAAAUAGACAUUAAAGAUCUCAAAAAAUUU